rnacentral:lncRNA from 1 species
UCGGGAUGUAACAAAUCCAGUGGUCGACUUUAUAUCUACACAGCGCACGACUUUGUAUCUCAAUUGCUUGAUUUUAAAUCUUUAGCAGUGGAUGGAUUUGAAAUCUGCAGCGCUGGAAUUAAAAUUAAUGGCUCUGGAUUUUUUUUUAAUCUCCAGCGCUUGAUUUCAAAAACCACUCUCAGUAGGAAGCAAUCCCAAAAUUAUUGGGAUCGAAAUUAAAUACCAUGUUUAAAGUUGAUAAGGGAGGUUUUUUUUU